CUGAAGACCCACCCAGGCUAAAGCACCAGGCCUCCGUGUGGGCGUGUGGGCGUGUGGGCUCCCUGCCUGAGUGGGCAGGGGACACCACGGGGCCUGUGGACGCCCUGCCACCCCCGGGGGUGACAGAGAGUGUGACCAUGUCUGCAAGCUGCUCAGUCCCCCGGUUCCCCACGCCCCGCCCAUGUUGUGCCAGUAUGUUCAUGCUCUGGGUUAUAUUUAACUCAAGUCAUAAUAUUUAGGGGGGUGGGGGUUGGAAGCCUGCUGUUUCACCAAGAAAGGCAUUUGAAUAGUCUCAGUUCCAGAGAAUUCCAAGGGCUCGGGGAAGAGAGUGAAGCGGUUGCCCCAGAUUUGUCUGACACAUCGCGGUCACGUGGACCCCAUUAGCGGAUGACUGAGGCGGCGAGCAGGCAGCCUAAAGGAAUGUUGUAGAAGCGAUGAAGAGGAGCCAGACCAGGAUCGCCUUGAGGACAUAGAUUCACCCAUUUCCAGAUUUCAUGGUCACUCUGUUAUCACAAGCAACUGUGUACAGUUCUGACUUAUUUAGAAAACAGAAAGAGACUUACCAACAUAGAAGGCAAACUUACGAUUACCAAAAGGGAAAGGUGGCAGGAGAGAUACGUUAGGAGUUUGGGAUCAGCAGAUACAAACUACUAUGUGUAUGUGUUUUUAAAAGCUGAAUCUCUAAGUACAUUUUCCAGAAGUUCUUUCUAUGUUACAGAAUACAACAAAUUUCUCUGGGAGACUCAAACUUUUUUUUUUUUUUUGGCAUCACAUCACGACUUCCCCGAGCCACGAAGGGCAGUUGGGACAGAAUCCCAAACGCUCGGAGGCGGAGUCUCUGAGUAGAUGGAGAGUGAGGACAGGCGUGCUCGCCACGUGUUUCUUAUUAUGGUGUCUAGACACAGGCAGGUCUCAAAGCUGCAGGGGGAGGAGAAGUGUCAUGUCCCAGGGCGCCAAACACAUCCCAGUCUGAGCAGACUCCAAUCUCCUCACCAAAUGAGAGCAGCUAGAAGGAGACUCGUGGAGCCUUUGGUGAGAACAGGUCCCACUCAUGCUUCCAAGGGUCUUGUGAAAUGAUGGGGUCCAAGAGUCAGUGACUCAGGGGGCGGGAAUUCAGAGGACCUUGGCAAUUGGGGGCUAUCCCAGUCCCCAGACACAGAGACCACCGUCCCAUCUCUAAGGCACUAAAACCAGCACUUGCUUCACAUUCGUGGGAACUGACAUAUGGUAUAAUUUUUUUUAAAUCUUCCAAGUUCCCUAGGCAGCUUUGACGUGAAUAUUAAUACUAACAUAAUUUCAUGAUGAUUAGAGAACACAAUUAGGGGCUAUUAAUAAUGACACAAAUAAUGACAUUUAAGGCCUCAUUUUUAAUUUGAGUAAUAUUCUGUCUGGUGAUAUUUAAACAGCUCUGUCUAGCACAAUUAGGGCAGUGCUAGGGUGCAGUCACUGCUCACAGAAUCUGUCAGGCCCACCUCACCCACCCACCUGCAUGGCAGAGGAGAUGGAUGGGGGGAAACUGCCCCAGACCUGAGAGGCUGCAGCCAUGCGUGGCCCCUCGGAGAGGAGACCUUGUGAGCAGAUUGCAACAAAAGUCCAAAUGGAGAAAGAUGGCUGGCGGCUGGACUGGAGCCCAAUGAGAAG